CACGCUGUAAACGAUGAGUGCUAGGUGUUGGCCAGCGAUGGUCAGUGCCGCAGUUAACACAAUAAGCACUCCGCCUGGGGAGUACGUACGCAAGUAUGAAACUCAAAGGAAUUGACGGGGACCCGCACAAGCAGCGGAGCAUGUGGUUUAAUUCGAAGCAACGCGAAGAACCUUACCAAGGCUUGACAUCCCCUUGACAGGUACAGAGAUGUACCAUCAUUUUCGAAUGCAAGGGUGACAGGUGG
rnacentral:rRNA from 1 species